GCCUGCUUUAGGGGAACAGGUGGCAACUUUUAUAGCCUCCACUGUUGAAUUUACCUCUUCUGAUGGGAUUGGGAGCAUUUGUUCAUUCAUGUGACUAUAAACUCUUUGAAGAUGAGGUCUGGAUCCUUUCACUUUUGAAUCCGCAAAACCUGACACAGUGGCUAUAACAUAAAGUACUCACUCAGAGGCUAAACUAUAUGGUAGAGACUAUGUCAGGAUCAUCUCCAGAGAAAGGUUUCUCAUGCUCAUGAAUGAAAAUCAGAGGAAUUCAAGCUAAUGCUAUGAAACAAACCAAUAAAGAAGGAAGGAAGGAAGGAAGGGAGAGAAGUGGAAGAGGAAAGAAGAGUGGAGGAAGUGUGCAAGAAAGAGAAAAUGAAGGGUAUAAAUAUCAGAAAAGACAGAAAUGCACUUGGAGGUAACAGGAUUGUUAUAUCAGUGCCUCCAAGGAAAUGUUAGCCAUUAACAAAAAAGGAAAAAGCACAGAAUUCUUACGAAAACAAAAGCAGGGGUGCCUGCGGGGCUCAGUCUAUUAAGCGUCUUCCUUCAGCUCAGGUCAUGAUCAGAGUCCUGGGAUUGAGUCCCAUAUCAGACUCCCCAGUCAGCAGGAAGUUUGCUUCUCCCUCUACCCUAUGCCCUACUCAUGCUCUCUCACUCUCUCUCUAAAUAAAUAAAAUCUGGAAGGAAGGAAGGAAGGAAGGAAGGAAGGAAGGAAGGAAGGAAGGGAGGGAAGAAAGGAAAAGCAAACUAGAAAAUAUUACCAAAAAAAGAGAUUUAAACGAAUGAGCAUUUAUUUUCUACAGAGCUCUUUGGUAAGAUUCAAUAUAGUAUAUAUAUCAAUUCCC
rnacentral:lncRNA from 1 species